UACGUAGGGGGCAAGCGUUGUCCGGAUUUAUUGGGCGUAAAGAGCGUGUAGGCGGCUAGAUAGGUCCGUUGUGAAAACUCGAGGCUCAACCUCGAGACGUCGAUGGAAACCAUCUGGCUAGAGUCCGGAAGAGGAGAGUGGAAUUCCUGGUGUAGCGGUGAAAUGCGCAGAUAUCAGGAAGAACACCCGUGGCGAAGGCGGCUCUCGUCGGUAC
rnacentral:rRNA from 1 species